rnacentral:rRNA from 1 species
GACAGCAGCCAUAUCACUCUGCAACUCACAACUGGCAACCCACUGAAGCUAAGAAGGUGUGAGCCUGGUCAGUACCUGGAUGGGAGACGUCCUGGGAAAAACAAAGGUUGCUGCUGGAA